rnacentral:rRNA from 1 species
UACGUAGGGUCCGAGCGUUGUCCGGAAUUAUUGGGCGUAAAGGGCUCGUAGGCGGUUCGUCACGUCGGGAGUGAAAACUCGGGGCUUAACCCCGAGCCUGCUUCCGAUACGAGCAGACUAGAGGUAGGCAGGGGAGAGCGGAACUCCUGGUGUAGCGGUGAAAUGCGCAGAUAUCGGGAAGAACACCCGUGGCGAAGGCGGCUCUCUGGAACGCAACUGAACGCUGAGACGCGAAAGCGUGGGGAGCAAACAGG